AUGCCUAAUACAUGCAAGUCGAAUGGAAGAGCUUGCUUUCCAUGGCGAACGGGUGAGUAACACGUAGGUAACCUACCUUAAGGACGAGGAUAACCUUUGGAAACGAAGGAUAAUACUGGAUAGGACAUUACAAAGCACAUGCUUAAAUGUUUAAAGGAGCAAUCCACCAUAAGAGGGGCCUGCGGCGCAUUAGCUAGUUGGUGAGAUAAAGGCCCACCAAGGCGAUGAUGCGUAGCUGGACUGAGAGGUUGAACAGCCACAAUGGGACUGAGAACGGCCCAUACUCCUACGGGAGGCAGCAGUAGGGAAUUUUCGGCAAUGGGCAAAAGCCUGACCGAGCCAAUGCCGCGUGAUCGAAGAAGUAUUUCGGUAUGUAAAGAUCUUUUAUCAGGGAAGAAAAAACAAAUUGACUGAACCUGAUGAAUAAGCUCCGGCUAACUACGUGCCAGCCGCCGC
rnacentral:rRNA from 1 species